rnacentral:rRNA from 1 species
AGACGCCUACAUUAGAUACCCCCGUAGUCCUAGCCGUAAACGAUACUCGCUAGGUGUCGGCCACGGUGCGACCGUUGUCGGUGCCGUAGGGAAGCCGUGAAGCGAGCCACCUGGGAAGUACGGCCGCAAGGCUGAAACUUAAAGGAAUUGGCGGGGGAGCACAACAACGGGUGGAGCUUGCGGUUUAAUUGGAUUCAACGCCGGAAAUCUUACCGGGACCGACAGCAACAUGAAGGCCAAGCUGAAGACUUUGCCGGAUUAGCUG